GAGAGCAUCGACGUGUGAGAGGUGGACAGUGAGUGAAGUUGUGGAUUCGGAUACACUGGUCAAGGACUCGUGUUCGGGUGAUGAAAAGAUUGGGGAGGAAGGGAGAGUGUUGACGAUGAGUGUGUUGUAUUGCGAAUAGGAAGAAGAGGCGGGGGAGAAAGAAAAGAAGAGAAUAGCUGCCGAGAAGAUGAUGGUUUUUGGGACGUUUAGCCCCAUCGUGAAUAAAAAAAGUAAAGGUUAUAAUGUCAAGUGUGACUUGAAACGUAGAGGAUAGAUGGCAAAAUAUAUAAAGGCAAAUGAUACUCGUGUGUGAAAGCUUACUUUACUUUACUUAUUGACCUAAAUUUUUUUUCUUAUUUUUUUGUGUGGAGCAACUGUUUCUCUUUUUUACAGUGGAGUCACAUUCACUAACAUGUUCAAUAUAAUGUUGGAUCGGGAAGACUCCACCGUGAAAUCUCCCGGCUCACCGAAGAUUCCG